UUUGGGGGCAUAGCUGCCUCCCUAUUGUCAAGGAUUUUGAGCAGAUCAGAUUUGAGGACCUUUUUUCAAUAGGUCUAUGUUUUUCUUACAACCACUCUCCAUUUUAAACACAUCAUGAGUAGACUUUUGGAGUCUGAUCUAUCGAGCUGGGUGUGUUUGGAAAGCUACAGAGCAGUGGCCAUAGAAAGACUGUGUGAGACAGAGUCCUAGCCUAUCUGUCCGGCCAGUCGAACCUCAAGUGUUCGCUGCUUUCAUUUUCUCUUGGCUGAGGAAAUGAUGGUUUGGUUUUGCAAAGGAAGGCUGGGGACUUCUGCCAGCUUGCUAACGGCCUUGCCCCAUUCAGAUGCAUCGAACUCACAGAACAUCGCUCCCCAGCUGCCGGCCCGCAGUUCUGAGAGUGCCUGAAUAGAAAACCACUCAUUUCCCUUCGCAAUAGAGGCGCCCAAAGCAGAUAUGUCAAUAUAUUCCAAUUUAGCCGAGGGAAGCCAGAACAUGGAUAUUGUUGCCAAGGAAACCACCUCCUUCCUCCUGUGUGCCGUGCAUACGUGUAUCACUUCAUCUCUCUGCUCUCCAAGCUGGAAUCCAGAUCUGACGUGGAUCUCCUGCCCCAGUUCUGAAGUCUACCUGGUGCCCCAGCCGAACCUGCCCUGGCUCCUGGGUGGGGUAUGGACAUCUGUGGCAUCCCUCCCUAACACCCCACCAAGCUGGGCUGCAAGACAGGUUAUGGUGGCCCCAUGACUUCGUUCCUUGGUAAGCCACAGGCCUUCCUUGUUAACUGCUUUGCUGUUGGUCAUUGCAGAGAAAUAGGGGACAAUAAGAACAACCUGAUAUGUAGCAAAGGCUCUAGGACUGUGUCAUCUGCUGAAGCGCCAGUCCCUGCGCUGCCUCUCCUGAGUGGCAUCUGUGAUGGCAAACAAAAGGCUCCUUGGGCUUCACACUCUGCUUUCUUUCCAAAUGGUACUUACCACCCACUACCUCCCAGCCUUCUUCUGACCAGCUCCCUCUUCUGAUAGGCUUAUUUCCAUGAAGUUCUUCAGAGUUAGAAGCAUGAACUUUAGAACCAGGUGACCCAGGUUGGAAUCCAUCUCUGCCACUUACUAGCCAUAUGACCUUGGGUAUGUUACUUAACAUUUCUGUGCCUCAGUUUCUUUUUCUAUAAAAUGGGCGUAAUAAUAUCUAUCUAGCACAGUUACUGUAAGGAUUAAGUAAGUUAUUAUAUGCAGAGUUCUUGGUUCACAGUUAGUACCAUUUAAGCCUUUCUAUUAUUAUUACUGUUACAAUUUUCCUGGCAUGUCAGCCUGAUGAUGCAGAUGAGGCAGGAACUUUCGUCUCUGCCUCUCGUGGACUGCCUGAUGAGCUCCAUGGAACUCAGCCAUGCCUGCAGUGCUGCAGGCCUCGCUUCUGAGUGCUGGAGGCUGAGAAGACAAUGGAUGUUGACUGGGCAUUUUGGGGGGUUUUCUUACACAGGAGGAAGAUGACAAUGACUGUGGAAGCAGAAGGUUGUCAUGGAAAUGCACCUGUUCCAAGUCGUUACACUCUGGGCUCUGGGCUGGCUCUGCAUGGGCCUACCAUGCACUGACUUCAGCUUCACCUGGGUCAGCGGGAGGCUGGACGAAGGUAGACAUCUUUCCUCACCACCAGCCUGCCAUGGUGGCUUUCUGUCGCCGGUGUGAACAGACACUCAAGCUUUCCUGGUCUCCUGAGCUACUGUGAAUAUGGCACAAGAUAGUGGACUCUGAAUAACAUUGGAAACAACUGCUUCCUGGAUGGCCACUGAGUGCAAGGCCUGAGGGAGGGUGAGGGCAAGAGGACUGAUGGUUACUGGACAUCUUCAUGCCCAGGCUUCUGUGUGUCCUCUCACUUAAUCCUCCAACAGCACUGUGAGGAAAAUACAGCAUCCCACCUCACAGGCGAGGAAGCUCAAGUUGAAGGAAUGUUAAAUUGUCUGCUCUGAGCCUCACAGCUGGGAGGUGACAGCCCCAGGAUUGGUGGCCAGGGUUUGUCUGCCUUUAAAGCUUAUGUCAUGUCCUUCUGUGUUAUCUCGGUCUGUACAGGGUGCUACAGCAAAAUACCAUAGCCUGGGUAGUUUAUGAACAACAGAAAUUUAUUUCUCAUAGUUCUGGAGCCUGGAAGUCCAAGACCAAGCCUCCCGCAGGUUCAGUGUUUGGUGAGGACCCACUUCCUUGUUCAUAGAUGUCCCUUUCUCGCUGUGGCCUCACAGCAAGGGGUCAGGGUUCUCUCUGGGACCUCUUUAAAUAGGGUCACCAAUUCCAUUCAUGAGGGCUGCACCCCUAUGACCUAAUCCCCUCCCAAAGGCCCCGCUUGACCAUACCAUUACGUUGGGGGUUACGAUUCUGGCAUGAAUUUUGGGAGGGACACAGGCAUUCUGACCAUAGCAUGUGUGUAGUUGCUCCUCCCCACCGAGGAAACCACCGCUUCCAAGCAUGGCUACCAUCUGGUUACCCUGGGUGGCCAAGGUCAGCAGAGGUGCUUUGCCAACUGGUUGGCACCCACACUACCUCUGUCCAGGUGGGCUGGGGCGAGGGUUGAGUCAUAGUGGGACUCUGUGGGGCUCCGGGGACUGUCAGCUGACCUGGGGCCGGAGGUCCUGCUGCUCUGUGCCCAUAGACACCUCCUGGGAAUCUGACGACUUUCAUCAGGGCCCAGAACUCACCCUGACAGUUCUUUCAGCUCUUGUCUUUUCCUCCCCUACCUACCUGCUCAUCUUGCUUUCACACACAAAGCCUCCCCUGCACUCCCCAUUCCCCUCCUCAAUCGCUUUCCCAGCUUUUGUACUUUAUGAUGCCAUGACUUGGGUGAGGAAACUCAUUAAAGUCAUUAUUCCGUGCACAGAAAUGUGUCUUUCAUCCCAUUCAUAUUUAAUGUUCCUCCCACUUGAUCUUUUGACACUUUUUAAUUCCUGAUAUUACGUGACAUACACACACA